ACCCCGCCCAGACACGUGCUGCCUUUGUUCCCGCCGCGGCCCCCGCCGCUGAGGCCGCGGGCCGUGUGAAGAGUGGCCCCGGUGCCAGGUCAACUUUCCUGCCAAAGGUCUCCAGAUACGGACUCCCAGCAUGGCUACAAGACUCUCAUUAAGUAAUGAAUAGAGCUCUGACCAAGCCAGAAGGGGCCACAUAGAACGCUUGAACUUGCUUGGAAACCCUCCAGCACUCAAGAAAAGACGCCUUUUGAAAAAAAAAUUAUUUUAUUGGAACUCAUCUGAACAUCAGAUAUACCUGGUGUUGGUUAGCAAGAACCGUUUGUACAUUUGAUAUUGAUGGUGCCAAAACCAAAACAGUGACUGGACAUGAUGGAGAGAGAAGGUGGUUGAGAACAAAAACCUGAUUUUGAAGAGGAAAAUAAAAGCCAGUCAGAUUCAGUGAAGAUGCAAAACCUGGUACAACAAAAUCCUUUUACAAAAUAGAAAUCUAUUACCAAAACCUGGAAGGAUAAUCUGAGAAAGGUUCUAAAGAAAGAGAAAGGAGGCCAGCGGAAGGAGGCAGGAGGAGGAGGGAGGAAGAGAGGAAAGACAGGUGAGAAAGGACACAGCGCAGUGGGGCCUGCUGAGGACUGCUGGGAAGAAAGCAUGCUAAGACAGCGCCACCCCGUCGUCGGCUCACACUCUUAGGAGGCAGAGAGAGACAUUCUGGGAAGGGGACGUGAGGGUGCUUCAACCCAACAAAAAAGGGACAAACAAAAACCCCACCCAGCCUCAUUCCCGAUGUCCACUGUUUUGAAAAGGGAUCGGUCAUCUGACAGCAGGAAGAAGGGUGGCGAGGGAGAGAGCGCAGCAGAUGGAGUUCAGACAGCCCAACUCCUCUAGAGGAAAGAGAAAGGAUAUGGUCUCCUGGGUGAGAGAGCAUAGAGAGGAGAGGAGAGCAAAGGGGGAGGAGGGAUGGUGGAAACACUGAUGUCUAGUCUAGUUACUGUGUUAAAGAAGCCACAUGCACAGCAGGCACCGAGGGCUGAGGCCCACACUGCGCACCCGUGUGGCCGUAGUGGACACUAGCUCCUGGACUUGUUCCCAUUCUGUGACAGGUCAGAGCAGAGCCGGACGCGGUGGUAGUGGUGGUGCCACAGCUGGCCCUUCAGCUAGCCUGCUGGAGCCCAUGUCAGAGAGGAAGGGUGGACAGGCCAGAAGGCAGAGAAGAACACCAACGCCUCGUUUCAAAUAAAAAAGAAAACAGCAGUCUA